rnacentral:rRNA from 1 species
UACGGAGGGUGCAAGCGUUGUCCGGAAUCACUGGGCGUAAAGGGCGCGUAGGCGGCUCAUGAAGGCUGUGGUGAAAGUCCGGGGCUCAACCUCGGAUCGGCCGUGGCGACUCGUGGGCUGGAGCACUGUAGAGGCGGGUGGAAUUCCGGGUGUAGCGGUGGAAUGCGUAGAUAUCAGGAGGAACACCUAUUGCGAAGGCAGCUCGCUGGGACGUAACUGACGCUGAGACGCGAAAGCGUGGGGAGCAAACAGG